rnacentral:rRNA from 1 species
GCGGUUAAAAAGCUCGUAGUUGGAUUUCUGCUGAGGACGACCGGUCCGCCCACUGGGUGAGUAUCUGGCUCGGCCUUGGCAUCUUCUUGGAGAACGUAUCUGCACUUGACUGUGUGGUGCGGUAACCAGGACCUUUACUUUGAGGAAAUUA